UACACCCUCUCUGCAUGUGUGACAUUUGCAAUAAACAUGAUAGAUAACAGUCCAGGAACAGGGAAAAUAAUAAUGCAGUGUUUAAAUGUAUUAGGUGUAAUAUCCAGGCUCCAGUACAGCAGGUGGCAGUAACUGUUCAGCUCGCUCGAGACCCUCCAGUAAAACCCACGAAGAAGACGAAAACGAAAGUAGAAAGCGUUGCUCGUUGGAUUUGAUGCAUGCCCUUUACUAGAAAACAUUUCUUCAUUUUCAAGCUUAAAGCACAGAAAAAAUGAGUGUUUCAAAUGCUUAUAGAUUCUCUUCUUAGUGGACAAGACUGCAAGUAAGUUUUCAAAAAGGGGUUAUUGAAAACGAAUGUGUUUCUGAAGGUUUUUCUGUAUUUCCGCUUCUGUUGUUUUUGUGACGCGAAAUCGAAAGUGUUUUUAAACCAGACAUUUCUCAUUAAGAUCAUUUGGUUAUUCUAUAUGGCAGUGCAUUUGUUUGUAACUCACUUUAUUUUAUAUAGUGUUUUUGUUGCUGUUGCUGCUAACUCAACAUAUUUCUUCAUCUCAUGAACAUCAUCAUCUUCAGGUCACACUGAACAGCAGAUUGUUGUCUCAAGCCAGUGCUGAUCAAUGACAGUUUAUCUGCAGUAUGUCAGAGAAGAGAGGAAAGAUGAGUCUCUCACAGAAACAGAGUGUAAGAUCAGACUCACAUGUGUCCAGCUCUGUGUAUGUGAAGAGUGACCGGUCAAAGAAUGAACCACCGAGAUUCAGUGAAGAAACAGCAUCACGAACCAAAUGGUAUUUGAUCUGUUUCUUAUUUUUGUUUACACAUAGACUGUGUCAGAAAGUGUGUCAGUGAAUAAUUAUCAUAAAACGUAUAGUCAAUAAAUGUAUCAUUUAUUUAUUGUUUUGCUCUUUGCUAAAAUGUUUACAAUAUAAUUUGGUAAUAUCUUUUCCUAAAAAUGCAGUAUUUUGAUUUUAUUUUUUUUACUCUCAGGCUUCAGUAUGAAACAUUAGAUCCAGAUUUACAGUCUCACAGGAGCCACAAGAAUUUUACAGACAGUCUCCUGAAGAUCUUCCAGGUAAUAAAACACAUUUUCAAGAACAUUUACUAAUUAUAAUA
rnacentral:lncRNA from 1 species